rnacentral:rRNA from 1 species
CGGUAAGAGCGGCGGACGGGUGAGUAACGCGUGGGUAACCUACCCUGUACACACGGAUAACAUACCGAAAGGUAUGCUAAUACGGGAUAAUAUAUUUGAGAGGCAUCUCUUAAAUAUCAAAGGUGAGCCAGUACAGGAUGGACCCGCGUCUGAUUAGCUAGUUGGUAAGGUAACGGCUUACCAAGGCGACGAUCAGUAGCCGACCUGAGAGGGUGAUCGGCCACAUUGGAACUGAGACACGGUCCAAACUCCUACGGGAGGCAGCAGUGGGGAAUAUUGCACAAUGGGCGAAAGCCUGAUGCAGCAACGCCGCGUGAGUGAUGAAGGCCUUCGGGUCGUAAAACUCUGUCCUCAAGGAAGAUAAUGACGGUACUUGAGGAGGAAGCCCCGGCUAACUACGUGCCAGCAGCCGCGGUAAUACGUAGGGGGCUAGCGUUAUCCGGAUUUACUGGGCGUAAAGGGUGCGUAGGCGGUCUUUCAAGUCAGGAGUGAAAGGCUACGGCUCAACCGUAGUAAGCUCUUGAAACUGGGAGACUUGAGUGCAGGAGAGGAGAGUGGAAUUCCUAGUGUAGCGGUGAAAUGC